rnacentral:rRNA from 1 species
CUGCAAGUCGCACGAGAAAUCCUGGGCAACUGGGAAAGUAAAGUGGCGUACGGGUGAGUAACGCGUGGGUAACCUACCCUUAAAUUGGGGAUAACUCCGCGAAAGCGGGGCUAAUACCGGAUAACAUUCCGGCUUCCAAGGGAGUUGGAAUUAAAGGUGGCCUCUGCAUGCAAGCUAUCGUUUAAGGAUGGGCCCGCGUACCAUUAGCUUGUUGGUAGGGUAAUAGCCUACCAAGGCUACGAUGGUUAGCUGGUCUGAGAGGAUGACCAGCCACACUGGAACUGAGACACGGUCCAGACUCCUACGGGAGGCAGCAGUGGGGAAUCUUGCGCAAUGGGGGAAACCUUGACGCAGCAACGCCGCGUGGGUGAUGAAGGCCUUCGGGUCGUAAAGCCCUGUCAGGCGGGAAGAAUUGUGUCGAUGCUAAUACCAUCGAUGCG